GCUUCGCGAGUGCCGCCCGAGUCUCUGGCUUGGGUGUGUGCUCGGUCUUGGGUGUUUGGGCUUCGGCUCAGGCGCCCGGGUCGGUCUUUAUCUAACCAAUCAACACCAAACCUAUCCAUCUAAAGCAAAGCAUGCAAUCGGCUUAGAGCUGUUGCAUACCAACCAAGACAACUCUCAACAACGGAUAUCUUGGCUCUCGCAACGAUGAAGAACGCAGCGAAAUGCGAUACGUAGUGUGAAUUGCAGAAAUACGUGAACCAUCGAAUCUUUGAACGCGUAUUGCGCUCGAGGCUUCGGCCAAGAGCAUGUCUGCCUCAGCGUCGGGUUAAUCCUCGCCCAACCAAUCCAUGGAUUGAACGGGCGGAUCUGGCUUUCCCAGGCCUAGUGUCUGGGUUCGCUGAAGCACAGAGGUUGAUGCAUGGACCCGAUAAGGGCCGCAACUGGGUAGGCAACUUGUUGCUAAUGCUUUAGUUGUUGGCUUGGGACUGUGCUUGUCGACCCGAAAUCAGGAAGGGCUUCGGCCCUAUUAACCUUUA
rnacentral:rRNA from 1 species